rnacentral:tRNA from 1 species
GCCGGAGUGGCGGAACUGGCAGACGCGCGGGACUCAAAAUCCCGUACUCGCAAGGGUGUGUGGGUUCGACCCCCUCCUCCGGCACCA